rnacentral:lncRNA from 1 species
GUUCAGGAAAUUAGGUCAUCACUUAAAACUUUCACACUUUACAGUACAAUAAAGCUUACAAAGUACCAGUCCUCAAGAAGACAUGUCACCCUAGCCAGUCAUAUUAUUCAGUCAGGGCCAUCCAAGCAUUUGCUCUUACUCCUUCCUUAUUAUUCAUUGAGAAGCAUCAAAUAUAAUUUUUAUAUAUUUGGCUUGAACUUGCUGGUGAUCAAAUCCGACCCUGCCAGAACUGAAGUUGGCAAUUAAUAAUUCUAAUAUCAAAUUUAAGAGUUAAAGUUGAAUAAAUUGCUUCCCUGAGCGCAGUUGGAUACUACCGCAGAGGUCAAACUCUGAACAGUUGGGGCAAAAAUGGACACAAUAUUAGCAAUUGAUACGUGUCCGAAUUUGGAUUGUAAUUA